GCCUGGAUCUGUGCUCUUGGAUUUCUGUGCUGUGGAAGCCACCAGCAGGAGCUGUCUGGUACCCCUGCCGCAAGUGAACUCUGCAGAUGGGAUGAGUUCUGCCCCAUAGAUGCCCAGAGAGGUCACCCCAUGUGGCCUGGCACUGCCCUUCCCUAGCAAGACGCUGGCCCAGGUUCCUGGGAGCAGUUUUCGUGUCGGGUCCAGAAAGCAAAGCAUGCAGAAGAAAAUGCAAUGAAAGGAGGUUUCAUCUGCCACACGGCUCCACGGACAGAAGGACAGAAGCAGGCGCCUGUGCAGCCCCGCGAGGCCUGGAGGUCACUUCAGGCCACAUGGCGGGGGCGCUCUGCCCACCAGGAGGGAGACCACAUUCCCAUCUGUCUAUCCAUUCGUCCGUCCAGCAGUGGCCCCAGGAGCCAGAACCGUGGAAGAUUCGUCUAAGAUUGACCCCAGAGGGAGCCGCGUGGAGGAGCCCAGAGCAGAGGAGAAACUGGGGCCCCCCGAGAGGCUACGGGGGCAGAGUCUGAGGAAAUGAGGCUCUGUAGGGGCUGAGGCGGGAGGGUCACGGGUCCCAGCCCGGCCGGGGUUCAACCCCAGCACCGCGAAAAAGUAGAAAGAGAAAGAAAGAUGCACGAAGAUGGUUCCUGUCCUGUCUGUUUCAGCCAGGCCCCGGGCUGAGGUGACAGAGGUCCUGGAGGACAGCGAGGGCCCCAUGGAGGUCACAGGGGCUGUCCUAGGCCUGAGGCAGCAGUGGUGGGCACCCCAGCACACAGCCCAGGAGAUGGAGCUCGUCAGGAGUGCGGGGAGGCUGGGGAUCUGCAGAAGGGGCUGCACGUGGAGGGCGGUGUGGCCCUGGCUGGCGACACAUGGGGAAGCAGCCAGCUUGUGCUGCCAGCCUCGAGGUGGGACCCAGCGUUCCCACCGCUGAGAAUCCACCCUAGGGAAGUGGCCCAGCAAGGGGCCACACAGCUAUGCUCCCCGAUACUCGGGAGGCUGAGGCACAAGGGUCGCAUCCUCAAGGACAGUUUAGCAAGUCUGCAUCUCAAAGUGGUAAUAAAAAAGAUGAGAAACAAGGCUGCAUGUGGCACAGUCCGGAGGUCGGGGUCCGUGCCUCGGAACGGUGCGGGGUGAUGGCAGCCAAGCUCAGCGCACUGCGUGACACGGGCAGAGCCCUGGCGCCGGGGACUAGCGCAUCCCGCUGCAGGCUUGUGGGGAGGUGA